AAAAAAAAAAAAGUCAAGUUUAGGGCAGGAAGUGGUAAAUCUCUGGUUUAGACCUGAGAGGCAGGCAGAUCUUUGCUCACUUCCACUGAGGGACAACAUGCCACACACACAAUAAAAUAGGCCUGUCUGAGUUCCUGCCACAGGAAACAGAAAUAGAACUAUCAGACCUCCACUGCUCCUGAGAAAAAAAGUCAUGAAAGCUCAGACAUGAUCUGAUGAUGACUUCCAACAAUUAUCUGUCUUAUUGUCCAAGGCACUGGGUUGGUCCACAGCACAGAUUCUACCUAAAUGUUGAUUUUACUCUCUUCUUUCCAGCUUAAAACCCACAAACCUGCCCUGAAGAGAAGACCUGAGUCCUCACAGCAGCUACAGCAAACUGCAGCCCUCAGCAGAACACACAACAGAUGCAGGCUGUGCUGUCUCUGAGCAGAUAGAACACAGAACAAGAUGUUAUAGAAGAGAUAAGACCACAGAAGAACAGCACAACACCUUCCCUGCCUUGACCGCUGCACGGACCUCAACCACACCGACCCCUGUACGUGACAAACAUGACAGACUCUUCUCCCAACCCCUUAUAAAGCUCCCUGCUUUUCCUUUGUUCGUCACUGAUGGGCCUCUCACUCUCAGUCCACCUCCACCCAGGUGAAUAAAGUCUGUGCCUCUCUGCUUUCCA